CCUUGGGCCUGGCUGGCCGGUCCGCCUCACCGCGUGUACUGGUCCGGCCGGGCCUUUCCCUCUGUGGAACCCCAUGCCCUUCACUGGGUGUGGCGGGGAAACAGGACUUUUACUGUGAAAAAAUUAGAGUGCUCCAGGCAGGCCUAUGCUCGAAUACAUUAGCAUGGAAUAAUAGAAUAGGACGUGUGGUUCUAUUUUGUUGGUUUCUAGGACCGCCGUAAUGAUUAAUAGGGACAGUCGGGGGCAUCAGUAUUCAAUUGUCAGAGGUGAAAUUCUUGGAUUUAUUGAAGACUAACUACUGCGAAAGCAUUUGCCAAGGAUGUUUUCAUUAAUCAGGAACGAAAGUUAGGGGAUCGAAGACGAUCAGAUACCGUCGUAGUCUUAACCAUAAACUAUGCCGACUAGGGAUCGGACGGUGUUAUUUUUUGACCCGUUCGGCACCUUACGAGAAAUCAAAGUGCUUGGGCUCCAGGGGGAGUAUGGUCGCAAGGCUGAAACUUAAAGAAAUUGACGGAAGGGCACCACCAGGGGUGGAGCCUGCGGCUUAA
rnacentral:rRNA from 1 species